GUGCUAAGUGUUAGGGGGUUUCCGCCCCUUAGUGCUGCAGCUAACGCAUUAAGCACUCCGCCUGGGGAGUACGGUCGCAAGACUGAAACUCAAAGGAAUUGACGGGGGCCCGCACAAGCGGUGGAGCAUGUGGUUUAAUUCGAAGCAACGCGAAGAACCUUACCAGGUCUUGACAUCCCGCUGACCGGCCUAGAGAUAGGCUUUUCCCUUCGGGGACAGCGGUGACAGGUGGUGCAUGGUUGUCGUCAGCUCGUGUCGUGAGAUGUUGGGUUAAGUCCCGCAACGAGCGCAACCCUUGAUCUUAGUUGCCAGCAUUCAGUUGGGCACUCUAAGGUGACUGCCGGUGAUAAACCGGAGGAAGGUGGGGAUGACGUCAAAUCAUCAUGCCCCUUAUGACCUGGGCUACACACGUGCUACAAUGGACGGUACAGAGGGUCGCAACCCCGCGAGGGUGAGCAAAUCCCAUAAAACCGUUCUCAGUUCGGAUUGUAGGCUGCAACUCGCCUACAUGAAGCCGGAAUCGCUAGUAAUCGUGGAUCAGCAUGCCACGGUGAAUACGUUCCCGGGCCUUGUACACACCGCCCGUCACACCACGAGAGUUUGUAACACCCGAAGUCGGUGGGGUAACCCUUACGGGAGCCAGCCGCCGAAGGUGGGACAGAUGAUUGGGGUGAAGUCGUAACAAGGUAACCGUAUCGGA
rnacentral:rRNA from 1 species